rnacentral:rRNA from 1 species
CCUACGGGAGGCAACAGUGAGGAAUAUUGGACAAUGGCCUGAAGGCUGAUCCAGCAAAGCCGCGUGAAGGACGAAGGUGCCAAGCAUUGUAAACUUCUUUUGUCAAGGGACAAAAUCAGGGUCGAUAGCCUGACCGAGGGUACUUGAAAAAAAAGCGUCGGCUAACUCCGUGCCAGCAGCCGCGGUAAUACGGAGGAUGCGAGCGGUAUCCGGAUUGAUUGGGUUUAAAGGGGGCGUAGGCGGACUGUUAAGUCAGCGGUAAAAGCCCGGGGCUAAACCCCGGCGCGCCGUUGAAACUGGCUGUCUUGAGAGGUCGAGAGGCAUGCGGAAUGCGGAGUGUAGCGGUGAAAUGCUUAGAUA